rnacentral:rRNA from 1 species
AUCUUCUUUGAAGGUAUGCUUAAGGAGGGGCUUGCGACACAUUAGUUAGUUGGCAGGGUAAAGGCCUACCAAGACUAUGAUGUGUAGCUGGACUGAGAGGUUGAACAGCCACAUUGGGACUGAGACACGGCCCAAACUCCUACGGGAGGCAGCAGUAGGGAAUUUUCGGCAAUGGAGGAAACUCUGACCGAGCAACGCCGCGUGAACGAUGAAGUACCUCGGUAUGUAAAGUUCUUUUAUUAAGGAAGAAAAAAGAGUGGAAAAACUCCCUUGACGGUACUUAAUGAAUAAGCCCCGGCUAAUUAUGUGCCAGCAGCCGCGGUAAUACAUAAGGGGCGAGCGUUAUCCGGAAUUAUUGGGCGUAAAGGGUGCGUAGGCGGUUUAAUAAGUCUAUAGUUUAAUUUCAGUGCUUAACGCUGUUGUGCUAUAGAAACUGUUUUACUAGAGUGAGAUAGAGGCAAGCGGAAUUCCAUGUGUAGCGGUAAAAUGCGUAAAUAUAUGGAGGAACACCAGAGGCGUAGGCGGCUUGCUGGGUCUUUACUGACGCUGAGGCACGAAAGCGUGGGGAGCAAACAGGAUUAGAUACCCUGGUAGUCCACGCCGUAAACGAUGAGUACUAAGUGUCGGGUAAAACUGGUACUGAAGUUAACACAUUAAGUACUCCGCCUGAGUAGUACGUACGCAAGUAUGAAACUUAAAGGAAUUGACGGGACUCCGCACAAGCGGUGGAUCAUGUUGUUUAAUUCGAAGAUACACGAAAAACCUUACCAGGUCUUGACAUUUUCUUGCGAAGUUAUAGAAAUAUAAUGGAG